rnacentral:tRNA from 1 species
GGCCGGUUGGCGUAAUGGCAACGCGUCAGUUUCCGGUUCCCCAAACCUGAGAUUGCUGAAGAUUGCGGGUUCGAGUCCCGUGCUGGUCG